rnacentral:lncRNA from 1 species
ACAGAAGGCCGCGUAGUGUAUGAUUCCAUUUAUACGAAGAGGCAUUUUUUCCUCAAUGAAGCUGUUUGAAAAAGAAAAAGGGAAAGAGAGGAAGAGAGAGAGGUGCCAGUUGGGGAGGAAAAGAGGAAGAGGAACCUUGUAGAGCAGAGUGCAGAAAACUUCCAGGAGCUCAGAAACAGAGCACAGAGCUCAUGACUCGGGGCAAGCUCGGAGCACAACGUGAGGACCACUUGAUCAGGGUUCGGAGACCAGGACCCAGUGCCGUGAGGGCUUCGGGUCCCCCAGCUGCAGGUUCAGUGCCAAGUUCAGGGCACUGAAGCCAGGGCCACAGGAGGAGCCGCCGGAGCAUAUGCAGAAGGAAGAGGAAGGAGGAGCUGGAGAACAUGAUGCUGCUAACCCCAGAUGAAAGCGUGUUUGCAGGAACCAGGUGGGAACUCCUGGAGACGGCAGGGGAACCAGGUGGAGGGCGGCUGCUCAGUUGUAUCUGUACAUGAGACUUCAAUCAGCGCCUUCGCUAGCCCAUUCAUUCACCUGGCAUUUAUAGAACGCUGCUGGUGUACAGGGUGAACACAACAGCCAAACAUCUUGGUUCCUCCUCAGAGAUGGCCGGCCCAGAGCCUGGACAUCUGACUCACCAAUACUCUAGUCCGUCAAAAGGACACACACCAAAGGGGAAGGGACCUGCUGGCCACAGGUGGGGCUGAAAUGGGUUGAAAUGUGUUACACAACUCACAUCUCAUGGGUUCAUAACUAUCCCCCCCGCAAAAAAAAAAAGCAAAAAAAAAAGCAAAAAAUGAAAAGAACAAAAACAAAAAAGAAGAAAAAGCUGGAAACCAGAGAGAAUGAUGCCAGGAACCAACUCAUUCUCCUGAAAAUGCGUCAGCGAAGGCAACAAGUGCUCCUCCUGCCUUUCCCGGACGCAUUGUGACCAACCAGAAAGUUCUCAUGGAAAACCCGGCUAACGGAUGCGAGAGGAGUGUGGUAAGAUUCGCUGUGGACAGUCCAGGACCGAGUGCUGGCGUCGACACCAAGAGCUCCUUGAAGGACACGCUGGGAAGCACACAGCCCUGUGAAUUCACUCCUGCCGAGAAACGAAGCUUAUGUUGCCAACCUCUGGGUCUGUCCCAGGGUCCCAGGAAGUACCGGCUCAGAGGAGCAUAUGCGGGUGGCACCGGGGGGCGCAGCCUGCAGUGCUGGAGGGAGGGAUUCCACAGGGCAAACACCCAGCUCCUUCAGCAGAUCAAAAGGGAGAAGAGUGGUAACAACUAAUUGGAGAAUUCUGGAUAUUGACUGUUUAUUUGAUUUUUUUUUUUUUUGAGACAGAGUUUCACUCUUGUUGCCCAGGCUCUAGUGCAAUGGCACGA